rnacentral:rRNA from 1 species
GAAGAUGCGGUGUAUCCGCGGCUAGACGGAAAGACCCCGUGAACCUUUACUAUAGCUUCACAGUGAACUUUGAGCAUGUUUGUGUAGGAUAGCUGGGAGGCUUUGAAGUGGGAACGCCAGUUCUCAUGGAGCCAACCUUGAAAUACCAGCCUGACAUGUUUGAGGUUCUAACUUGGUCCCCUUAUCGGGGAUGAGGACACUGUGUGGUGGGUAGUUUGACUGGGGCGGUCUCCUCCCAAAGCGUAACGGAGGAGCACAAAGGUGGGCUAAGCAUGGUCGGACAUCAUGCGGUUAGUGUAAUGGCACAAGCCCGCUUAACUGCGAGACAGACACGUCGAGCAGGUACGAAAGUAGGUCAUAGUGAUCCGGUGGUUCUGUAUGGAAGGGCCAUCGCUCAACGGAUAAAAGGUACUCCGGGGAUAACAGGCUGAUACCGCCCAAGAGUUCACAUCGACGGCGGUGUUUGGCACCUCGAUGUCGGCUCAUCACAUCCUGGGGCUGAAGCCGGUCCCAAGGGUAUGGCUGUUCGCCAUUUAAAGUGGUACGCGAGCUGGGUUUAGAACGUCGUGAGACAGUUCGGUCCCUAUCUGCCGUGGGUGUUGGAUACUUGAGAGGAGCUGUCCCUAGUACGAGAGGACCGGGAUGGACGCACCUCUGGUGGACCUGUUGUUGCGCCAGCAGCAUAGCAGGGUAGCUAAGUGCGGAAAGGAUAACCGCUGAAAGCAUCUAAGCGGGAAGCCCCUUCCAAGAUGAGAUCUCCCUGGACCCUCGAGGUCCCUGAAGAGCCGUUCAAGACCAGGACGUUGAUAGGUCGGGUGUGUAAGCGCUGCGAGGCGUUGAGCUAACCGAUACUAAUUGCUCGUGC